rnacentral:rRNA from 1 species
AGGUGGCUUUUGGGCUGUCGCAGAUGGAUGAGCCUGCGUUGGAUUAGCUAGUUGGUAGGGUAAGGGCCUACCAAGGCUGCGAUCCAUAGCUGAUUUGAGAGGAUGAUCAGCCACAUUGGGACUGAGACACGGCCCAAACUCUUACGGGAGGCAGCAGUGAGGAAUAUUGGACAAUGGGGGCAACCCUGAUCCGGCAAUGCCAUGUGUGUGAAGAAGGCCUUAGGGUUGUAAAGCACUUUAGUUGGGGAAGAAAGCUUUGAGGUUAAUAGCCUUGAGGAAGGACGUUACCCAAAGAAUAAGCACCGGCUAACUCCGUGCCAGCAGCCGCGGUAAUACGGGGGGUGCAAGCGUUAAUCGGAAUUACUGGGCGUAAAGGGUCUGUAGGUGGUUUGUUAAGUCAGAUGUGAAAGCCCAGGGCUCAACCUUGGAACUGCAUUUGAUACUGGCACACUAGAGUACGGUAGAGGAAUGAGGAAUUUCUGGUGUAGCGGUGAAAUGCGUAGAGAUCAGAAGGAACACCAAUGGCGAAGGCAACAUUCUGGACCGAUACUGACACUGAGGGACGAAAGCGUGGGGAUCAAACAGGAUUAGAUACCCUGGUAGUCCAUGCUGUAAACGAUGAGUACUAGCUGUUGGAGUCGGUGUAAAGGCUCUAGUGGCGCAGCUAACGCGAUAAGUACUCCGCCUGGGGACUACGGCCGCAAGGCUAAAACUCAAAGGAAUUGACGGGGAUCCGCACAAGCGGUGGAGCAUGUGGUUUAAUUCGAUGCAACGCGAAGAACCUUACCUGGUCUUGACAUCCUGCGAGCUUUCUAGAAAUAGAUUGGUGCCUUAGGGAACGCAGUGACAGGUGCUGCACGGCUGUCGUCAGCUCGUGUUGUGAAAUGUUGGGUUAAGUCCCGCAACGAGCGCAACCCCUAUUGAUAGUUACCAUCAUUAAGUUGGGUACUCUAUUGAGACUGCCGCUGACAAGGCGGAGGAAGGUGGGGACGACGUCAAGUCAUCAUGGCCCUUACGACCAGGGC